CAGGGCUCAGAUUGAACGCUGGCGGCAGGCCUAACACAUGCAAGUCGAACGGUAACAUGAAGAAGCGUUCUUCUUUGCUGAAGAGUGGCGUACGGGUGAGUAAUGUCUGGGAAACUGCCUGAUGGAGGGGGAUAACUACUGGAAACGGUAGCUAAUACCGCAUAACGUCGCAAGACCAAAGAGGGGGACCUUCGGGCCUCUUGCCAUCGGAUGUGCCCAGAUGGGAUUAGCUAGUAGGUGGGGUAACGGCUCACCUAGGCGACGAUCCCUAGCUGGUCUGAGAGGAUGACCAGCCACACUGGAACUGAGACACGGUCCAGACUCCUACGGGAGGCAGCAGUGGGGAAUAUUGCACAAUGGGCGCAAGCCUGAUGCAGCCAUGCCGCGUGUAUGAAGAAGGCCUUCGGGUUGUAAAGUACUUUCAGCGGGGAGGAAGGGAGUAAAGUUAAUACCUUUGCUCAUUGACGUUACCCGCAGAAGAAGCACCGGCUAACUCCGUGCCAGCAGCCGCGGUAAUACGGAGGGUGCAAGCGUUAAUCGGAAUUACUGGGCGUAAAGCGCACGCAGGCGGUUUGUUAAGUCAGAUGUGAAAUCCCCGGGCUCAACCUGGGAACUGCAUCUGAUACUGGCAAGCUUGAGUCUCGUAGAGGGGGGUAGAAUUCCAGGUGUAGCGGUGAAAUGCGUAGAGAUCUGGAGGAAUACCGGUGGCGAAGGCGGCCCCCUGGACGAAGACUGACGCUCAGGUGCGAAAGCGUGGGGAGCAAACAGGAUUAGAUACCCUGGUAGUCCACGCCGUAAACGAUGUCGACUUGGAGGUUGUGCCCUUGAGGCGUGGCUUCCGGAGCUAACGCGUUAAGUCGACCGCCUGGGGAGUACGGCCGCAAGGUUAAAACUCAAAUGAAUUGACGGGGGCCCGCACAAGCGGUGGAGCAUGUGGUUUAAUUCGAUGCAACGCGAAGAACCUUACCUGGUCUUGACAUCCACGGAAGUUUUCAGAGAUGAGAAUGUGCCUUCGGGAACCGUGAGACAGGUGCUGCAUGGCUGUCGUCAGCUCGUGUUGUGAAAUGUUGGGUUAAGUCCCGCAACGAGCGCAACCCUUAUCCUUUGUUGCCAGCGGUCCGGCCGGGAACUCAAAGGAGACUGCCAGUGAUAAACUGGAGGAAGGUGGGGAUGACGUCAAGUCAUCAUGGCCCUUACGACCAGGGCUACACACGUGCUACAAUGGCGCAUACAAAGAGAAGCGACCUCGCGAGAGCAAGCGGACCUCAUAAAGUGCGUCGUAGUCCGGAUUGGAGUCUGCAACUCGACUCCAUGAAGUCGGAAUCGCUAGUAAUCGUGGAUCAGAAUGCCACGGUGAAUACGUUCCCGGGCCUUGUACACACCGCCCGUCACACCAUGGGAGUGGGUUGCAAAAGAAGUAGGUAGCUUAACCUUCGGGAGGGCGCUUACCACUUUGUGAUUCAUGACUGGGGUGAAGUCGUAACAAGGUAACCGUAGGGGAACCUGCGGUUGGAUCACCUCCUUACCUUAAAGAA
rnacentral:rRNA from 1 species